AUUGAACGCUGGCGGCAGGCCUAACACAUGCAAGUCGAGCGGAGCGGCGGACGGGUGAGUAAGGCCUAGGAAUCUGACUGGUCGUGGGGGAUAACGUCCGGAAACGGGCGCUGAUACCGAAUACUAUCAGAAGAGCCUAGGUCGGAUUAGCUUGUUGGGUGGGUAAAGGCCUACCAAGGCGACGAUCCGUAACUGGUCUGAGAGGAUGAUCAGUCACACUGGAACUGAGACACGGUCCAGACUCCUACGGUAGGCAGCAGUGGGGAAUAUUGGACAAUGGGCGAAAGCCUGAUCCAGCCAUGCCGCGUGUGUGAAGAAGGUCUUCGGAUUGUAAAGCACUUUAAGUUGGGAGGCGUUACCAACAGAAUAAGCACCGGCUAACUUCGUGCCAGCAGCCGCGGUAAUUC
rnacentral:rRNA from 1 species